UACGGAGGGCGCAAGCGUUGUUCGGAAUCAUUGGGCGUAAAGCGCGUGUAGGCGGCCAGGUGAGUCGGGUGUGAAAGCCCGGGGCCCAACCCCGGAAUUGCAUUCGAUACUGCUUGGCUGGAGUCCCGGAGAGGAAGGCGGAAUUCCCGGUGUAGAGGUGAAAUUCGUAGAUAUCGGGAGGAACACCAGCGGCGCAGGCGGCCUUCUGGACGGUGACUGACGCUGAGACGCGAAAGCGUGGGGAGCAAACAGG
rnacentral:rRNA from 1 species